GUCGCAGCUGAUCACAUCGCGUGGGACGAAGCCUUCGGGUUGUACUGCUUUUGUACAGAACGAAAAGCUCUGGGUUAAUACCCUGGGUCAUGACGGUACUGUAAGAAUAAGCACCGGCUAACUACGUGCCAGCAGCCGCGGUAAUACGUAGGGUGCGAGCGUUAAUCGGAAUUACUGGGCGUAAAGCGUGCGCAGGCGGUUAUGUAAGACAGAGGUGAAAUCCCCGGGCUCAACCUGGGAACUGCCUUUGUGACUGCAUAGCUAGAGUACGGCAGAGGGGGAUGGAAUUCCGCGUGUAGCAGUGAAAUGCGUAGAUAUGCGGAGGAACACCGAUGGCGAAGGCAAUCCCCUGGGCCUGUACUGACGCUCAUGCACGAAAGCGUGGGGAGCAAACAGGAUUAGAUACCCUGGUAGUCCACGCCCUAAACGAUGUCAACUGGUUGUUGGGUCUUCACUGACUCAGUAACGAAGCUAACGCGUGAAGUUGACCGCCUGGGGAGUACGGNCGCAAGGUUGAAACUCAAAGGAAUUGACGGGGACCCGUACAAGCGGUGGAUGAUGUGGGUAA
rnacentral:rRNA from 1 species